rnacentral:rRNA from 1 species
CAGGGCGGCCAAAGCGGGGAGGUUCACCCGUUCCCAUACCGAAAUUGAAACCGCCCUGCAACCGGUGGUUUUUGACGGGAACACGGAAGUUAAGCUCCCCAGCGAUGUGGCUUGUACUAUACCGUCAUGGUAUGGGAAGGCCAGGACGCCGCCCACU